rnacentral:rRNA from 1 species
UACGGGGGGGGGCAAGCGUUGUCCGGAUUCAUUGGGCGUAAAGAGCGUGUAGGCGGCCAGGUAGGUCGGUUGUGAAAACUGGAGGCUCAACCUUCAGACGUCGACCGAAACCAUCUGGCUAGAGUCCGGGAGAGGAGAGUGGAAUUCCUGGUGUAGCGGUGAAAUGCGCAGAUAUCAGGAAGAACACCCGUGGCGAAAGCGGCUCUCUGGAACGGUACUGACGCUGAGACGCGAAAGCGUGGGGAGCGAACAGG